rnacentral:rRNA from 1 species
AUGUUCAGAAUUCCACACACGUGCAAUGUAACAAGCUUAACACUAAGCAGCUACAGGAAGUACUCCCUCCGUAACGAAAUAUACAGAGGGAGUAUUAGAGAUGAAGCAACCAUAUUUACUUCCGGGAUAUUAUCAGCGGAUCCUGGCAAUGCAAAAGAGUUUUGGAAUCCAAGCAAAAAGACAGUUCAACCAGUUAUAUUUGAACAAGUAAGAGACUUGAAUGGGGGUUUAAUUAAGCAAUUCAGUUAUGGUCAGGAAGAGACUUGGUUGGAUGUGGUGAGGAAGGAGCAGAGGGCGAUGCAUCCACCGAACCCCAAGUACGUGGACGCCAUGGGGUUCCCCACCGCCAACGACAACAUGCACCUCAUCACCCAGGCCCAGGUCCGGCUUAGCAAGAUGCUCGCCGACGCAUACAUCGCCACACUAUGA